rnacentral:misc_RNA from 1 species
UAUGACGCCCAGGCUUGUAUAGCUGGGGACUGCUUAACCCUUUGUUUUCCGACUCUGUUGCCUCCGGGGCGACCCUGCCUUCGGGCGGGGGCUCCGGGUGGACACUUCAAACUCUUGCGUAACUUUGCAGUCUGAGUAAACUUAAUUAAUAAAUUA